rnacentral:rRNA from 1 species
CAGUAGGGAAUCUUCCACAAUGGGCGCAAGCCUGAUGGAGCAACGCCGCGUGAGUGAAGAAGGUCUUCGGAUCGUAAAACUCUGUUGUUAGAGAAGAACGUGUGUGAGAGUGGAAAGUUCACACAGUGACGGUAACUUACCAGAAAGGGACGGCUAACUACGUGCCAG